GAAGCUGACCCAAACCAAUUUACCCAUCAGCCUUCACUCUCAAACCAAGUGCAUGCUAGGAAGUCAGUUCCAUUUCCUUUAGCAUUUGGAGAAGGCAGAAGCACAAAGAAAAAUCCAUCUUAAUCUGUGGCACAUGGUUAUCCAUGGACAAACUCACAUCCCACACCCAGAGCAUCUCUGAUAUUUUCCAAAGGAAAUGAUUUUGACUUGUGUAAAUCACUGAAGAAGAAAAAGAAAGAGAAUACGGAGAAGGAGAAGCAAAUGCAGUCCCCAAAUGAAGGAUGAAAUGGCACUUCUGAAACCUUGCUAAGAAAACUCCAGGAAAUAGUCCAAACAGUCAUAAGGAGUCAAAAUUCCUUGGAGAUACAAACACACAGACAAUAAUUGAGAUACUGUCAGGCCUGUUCCUUCGGUUAAACAAUGUCAUCUAUCAAGAUCCUGGAAGUGAGGUUUCUCUGUAGGAGUAUAUUUCCUUUGAAAGAAGACCCCCCUCAAGAUCUGGAUGGCCUCCACUCUGCUGUUGUUUAGAAAAGCUAUGAAGAUCUGAAUCUUCAUUCCUCCCCCAGGGCUUUAGUGAAGAAAUGUGAGACUUCUGCUUCAUUCCAUAUGGUUUGUCAUCUUGUACUGGUUUAAUUGUAUAGAUUGUCCUCGGCUUAUGGCUGUUUGUUCAAUGACCAUUCAAAAUUCUGACCGAGCUGAAU